GCGGCGGACGGGUGAGUAACACGUGGAUAACCUACCUAUAAGCACUGGGAUCAACUUCGGGAAACCGGAGCUAAUACCGGCAUAAUCAUUUUGAACCGCAUGCAUUCAAAAAGUGAAAGCACGGUCUUGCUGUCACUUAUAGAUGGAUCCGCGCUGCAUUAGCUAGUUGGUAAGGUAACGGCUUACCAAGGCAACGAUGCAUAGCCGACCUGAGAGGGUGAUCGGCCACACUGGAACUGAGACACGGUCCAGACUCCUACGGGAGGCAGCAGUAGGGAAUCCUUCCGCAAUGGGCGAAAGCCUGACGGAGCAACGCCGCGUGAGUGAUGAAGGUCUUCGGAUCGUAAAACUCUGUUAUUAGGGAAGAACAUAUGUGUAAGUAACUGUGCACAUCUUGACGGUACCUAAUCAGAAAGCCACGGCUAACUACGUGCCAGCAGCCGCGGUAAUACGUAGGUGGCAAGCGUUAUCCGGAAUUAUUGGGCGUAAAGCGCGCGUAGGCGGUUUUUUAAGUCUGAUGUGAAAGCCCACGGCUCAACCGUGGAGGGUCAUUGGAAACUGGAAAACUUGAGUGCAGAAGAGGAAAGUGGAAUUCCAUGUGUAGCGGUGAAAUGCGCAGAGAUAUGGAGGAACACCAGUGGCGAAGGCGACUUUCUGGUCUGUAACUGACGCUGAUGUGCGAAAGCGUGGGGAUCAAACAGGAUUAGAUACCCUGGUAGUCCACGCCGUAAACGAUGAGUGCUAAGUGUUAGGGGGUUUCCGCCCCUUAGUGCUGCAGCUAACGCAUUAAGCACUCCGCCUGGGGAGUACGACCGCAAGGUUG
rnacentral:rRNA from 1 species